rnacentral:rRNA from 1 species
UGACACAGGUGCUGCAUGGCUGUCGUCAGCUCGUGUCGUGAGAUGUUGGGUUAAGUCCCGUAACGAGCGCAACCCUUGUCCUUAGUUACCAGCACGUUAUGGUGGGCACUCUAAGGAGACUGCCGGUGACAAACCGGAGGAAGGUGGGGAUGACGUCAAGGGUCAUCAUGGCCCUUACGGCCUGGGCUACACACGUGCUACAAUGGUCGGUACAAAGGGUUGCCAAGCCGCGAGGUGGAGCUAAUCCCAUAAAACCGAUCGUAGUCCGGAUCGCAGUCUGCAACUCGACUGCGUGAAGUCGGAAUCGCUAGUAAUCGUGAAUCAGAAUGUCACGGUGAAUACGUUCCCGGGCCUU